CGUCUCAGUUCGGAUCGGAGUCUGCAACCCGACUCCGUGAAGCUGGAUUCGCUAGUAAUCGCGCAUCAGCCAUGGCGCGGUGAAUACGUUCCCGGGCCUUGUACACACCGCCCGUCAAGCCAUGGGAGCCGGGGGUGCUUGAAGUGCGUCGCCGCAAGGCGCGCCCUAGAGCAAAACCGGUGACUGGGGCUAAGUCGUAACAAGGUACC
rnacentral:rRNA from 1 species